rnacentral:rRNA from 1 species
GGAUUAUUUUGACAGAGACUUCGGUUGAAGUGUAUAAUCCUAUGGCGGACGGGUGAGUAACGCGUGGGUAACCUGCCUCACACUGGGGGAUAACAGUCAGAAAUGACUGCUAAUACCGCAUAAGCGCACGGGAUUGCAUGAUCCAGUGUGAAAAACUCCGGUGGUGUGAGAUGGACCCGCGUUGGAUUAGCCAGUUGGCAGGGUAACGGCCUACCAAAGCGACGAUCCAUAGCCGGCCUGAGAGGGUGGACGGCCACAUUGGGACUGAGACACGGCCCAGACUCCUACGGGAGGCAGCAGUGGGGAAUAUUGCACAAUGGGGGAAACCCUGAUGCAGCGACGCCGCGUGAAGGAAGAAGUAUCUCGGUAUGUAAACUUCUAUCAGCAGGGAAGAAAAUGACGGUACCUGACUAAGAAGCCCCGGCUAACUACGUGCCAGCAGCCGCGGUAAUACGUAGGGGGCAAGCGUUAUCCGGAUUUACUGGGUGUAAAGGGAGCGUAGACGGAGCAGCAAGUCUGAUGUGAAAGGCGGGGGCUCAACCCCCGGACUGCAUUGGAAACUGUUGAUCUUGAGUACCGGAGAGGUAAGCGGAAUUCCUAGUGUAGCGGUGAAAUGCGUAGAUAUUAGGAGGAACACCAGUGGCGAAGGCGGCUUACUGGACGG